GGACUACCGGGGUAUCUAAUCCUGUUUGCUCCCCACGCUUUCGCACCUCAGCGUCAGUAUUGGCCCAGGUCGCCGCCUUCGCCACUGGUGUUCCUCCCGAUAUCUACGAAUUUCACCUCUACACCGGGAAUUCCGCGACCCUCUUCCAUACUCAAGUCCGCUAGUUUCGAAUGCACUUCCUGGGUUGAGCCCAGGGCUUUCACGUCCGACUUGGCGAACCGCCUACGUGCGCUUUACGCCCAAUGAUUCCGAGCAACGUUUGCACCCUCCGUAUUACCGCGGCUGCUGGCAC
rnacentral:rRNA from 1 species